AUCCUAGAUCUGAAUGAAUGAAAUAUUCUUAUUAAAUACUUUUUUCUUUAUAUAGUUGAAUGUGCUGACAACAAUCACACAAUUUGAUUUUCAUUGAUCAUUUAUCAACCCAUGGAGGUCUGGAUUUGGAGUCACACUCAAAAUUAAAGUGGACAACCACACUACAGGCUGAUCCAACUUUGAUGUAAUGUCCUUAAAACAAGUCAAAAUGAGGCUCUGUAGUGUGUGUGGCCUCCACGUGCCUGUAUGACCUCCCUACAACGCCUGGGCAUGCUCCUGAUGAGGUGGCGGAUGGUCUCCUGAGGGAUCUCUUCCCAAACCUGGACUAAAUCAUCAAUGCCUUCCUCUUGCAGGAACUGCUGACACACUCCAGCCACAUGAGGUCUAGCAUGGUCUUGCAUUAGGAGGAACCCAGGGCCAACCGCACCAGCAUAUGGUCUCACAAGGGGUCUGAGGAUCUCAUCUCGGUACCUAAUGGCAGUCAGGCUACCUCUGGCGAGCACAUGGAGGGCUGUGCGGCCCCCCAAAGAAAUGCCACCCCACACCAUGACUGACCCAACGCCAAACCGGUCAUGCUGGAGGAUGUUGCCGGCAGCAGAAUGUUCUCCACGGCGUCUCCAGACUGUCACAUUCUCAGUGUGAACCUGCUUUCACCUGUGAAGAGCACAGGGCGCCAGUGGCGAAUUUGCCAAUCUUGGUGUUCUCUACCAGUUUCUACACUGACUCUUUGACCUUUAAAAAUAGUAACUCACACACAAACUUCUCAGGCUUUUCAAUCUAUGAUUGAACUGUGCUUCUACACCUGCAUUGCUUGCUGUUUGGGGUUUUAGGCUGGGUUUCUGUACAGCACUUUGAGAUAUCAGCUGAUGUACGAAGGGCUAAAUAAAUACAUUUGAUUUGAUAUCAUCUUGUUCAUGGGGUGGCAGGUAGCCAAGUGGUUAGAGCAUUGGACUAUUAACCGAAAGUUUGCAAGAUCAAAUCACCGAGCUGACAAGGUGAAUGGAGGAAUCGAGACGCGGCUCGAUAAGGAGGUCUUACACUAUGACUACCACGCCUCAUUCUUCGACAUAUUUCUCCUGGCUGUGUUACGGUUUGCAGCCCUAAUCUUGGCCUAUGCUGUUUGUAAACUGCGUCACUGGUGGGCCAUAGCGAUAACCACAGCAACCACAAGUGCUUUCCUGAUCGCAAAAGUCAUUUUAUCAAAGGUAUGCUUUUAUUAAAGUAUGUCUGAUGUAAUUUUAACAAGAGGAAUGAAAAAAUAUAUUUCAUAAUUUGAAUACAAUAGGAGGGAUAUGCAUCUUCUCUCUGACAUAGUGGAGAAGGGUGGUAAGAUGUUUUUGAUUUUUCAUGUUUGGAUUGUGAAUCGAAUAAUGUAAUAACUGUCAUUACUGUAGGACUUGGUGUUGGUACAGUUGUUCCUCCUUUAAAAGAUGUGAGCUUUACGCCGCGGGACUUAGAGGGACCCAGCGUCACGGCUUCAUUGCUCCAGACCACCACAAGGGGGAGUUAGGGCACUCAUUAUGCAUUUGGGUCCCAAGGUUUUUAUAUGACUUCAUAUUAAUGAGUAAUUUCACGCGAGCCACCCGUCCCUGGUGAAUUUCUUCAGCAAAGAUGGCUGACAUUACGGGGGAAGCAGGUGUAAGUAGUUAUAACGCCAUAACAAGUUAAGCAAAAAAUGUACAAUUAAGAGGAAUAUGGUAGUAAUGUAGAGACAAACGAUUGUGCGUAUUUGUUUGUCAAAGUUAAUUUACGAAAAUCGCUAUUUAUCAAGUUUUUUUUUUUGUUGGUGUCAUAUCUAAUACCAGGUGUAUCAAACUCCAGUAUUUGAAUGAUGCUGUGUCUGGAUGUAUGUAUUACAGUUAUACACUUCAACAGUGUUUACCGCUCCUGGGACGUCAAUGAUUACACAGUGU